AAGAAGAAUAUAGACAAUGAAAUGAGUGGAAGAGGGAGAUUUGUCUAUAUUCUUCUUCUUUUCUACUUUCUCCUCCCAUUUUUCCAUUACAAACACUACAUUUUUCUGUUUUUGAUUGAAAGUUUUCAUUUUUAGUAUUUUGGACUAAAUCACCUGCUUUGGGUUUUCUUGAUUUUUGCAGGGUUUUUCUUUUUUGUCUGACUGACCCUUUUGGGGGUAUUUUCAAAUCUUGAAAAGUUCUGAGUUCUCUUCAUAAAAAGCUUCAAGACACUAUUUUUCAAUUUUUCUUGUGUGAAACUCAAAUGGGUAUGUCUUGAAUUAGUGUUAGGAGGCAAAGAGUUAAGUAAUAAAAGAUAAAAAGAUGAAGAUACAGUGUGAUGUGUGUGAGAAAGCUCAAGCUACUGUGAUUUGCUGUGCUGAUGAGGCUGCUCUGUGUGCAAAAUGUGAUGUUGAAGUUCAUGCUGCUAAUAAAUUAGCAAGUAAGCACCAAAGGCUUCAUCUUCAGUGCCUAUCUAACAAGCUUCCUCCUUGUGAUAUUUGCCAAGAUAAAGCAGCCUUCAUCUUCUGUGUUGAGGAUAGAGCUCUCUUUUGCAAGGACUGUGACGAAGCAAUUCAUUCAGCCAGCAGCCUCGCUAAGAAC
rnacentral:misc_RNA from 1 species